rnacentral:rRNA from 1 species
GGACGAAAGUCUGACCGAGCAACGCCGCGUGUGCGAUGAAGGCCUUCGGGUUGUAAAGCACUGUCGAGGGGAAACAAGCCGUAAGGUUGAGUGACCCCUGGAGGAAGCACGGGCUAAGUUCGUGCCAGCAGCCGCGGUAAGACGAACCGUGCAAACGUUAUUCGGAAUCACUGGGCUUAAAGGGCGCGUAGGCGGGUAAUAUAGUCAAUGGUGAAAUCCUCCAGCUUAACUGGAGAAGUGCCUUUGAAACUGAUUGUCUAGAGAGAGGUAGAGGCAUGUGGAACUUCCGGUGGAGCGGUGAAAUGCGUAGAUAUCUGAAGGAACGCCAGUGGCGAAAGCGAUGUGCUGGACCUUUUCUGACGCUGAGGCGCGAAAGCUAGGGGAUCAAACGGGAUUAGAUACCCCGGUAGUCCUAGCCCUAAACUAUGGGUACUAGAUUGUGGACUUUCAUGGGUUCACAGUCGAAGCAAAAGUGUUAAGUACCCCGCCUGGGGAGUAUGGUCGCAAGGCUGAAACUCAAAGGAAUUGACGGGGGCUCACACAAGCGGUGGAGCAUGUGGCUUAAUUCGAGGCUACGCGAAGAACCUUAUCCUGGAAUUGACAUAUGCGAAAGCGGUAGGAAGUAAUUGCCGGAAACGGCCAAUGAACGGUAUCCAGUCCGGAACUUACCACAGGUGCUGCAUGGCUGUCGUCGGCUCGUGUCGUGAGAUGUCUGGUUAAGUCCGAUAACGAGCGCAACCCUUGUCUCUAGUUGCCAGCGGGUAAUGCCGGGAACUCUAGAGAGACUGCCGGUGUCAAACCGGAGGAAGGUGGGGAUGACGUCAAGUCCUCAUGGCCCUUAAAUCCAGGGCUGCACACGUGCUACAAUGGCGUAUACAGAGGGACGCAAACUCGCAAGAGCAAGCAAAUCCCAAAAAGUACG